GAUGAACGCUGGCGGCGUGCCUAAUACAUGCAAGUCGAGCGAAUGGAUUAAGAGCUUGCUCUUAUGAAGUUAGCGGCGGACGGGUGAGUAACACGUGGGUAACCUGCCCAUAAGACUGGGAUAACUCCGGGAAACCGGGGCUAAUACCGGAUAACAUUUUGAACCGCAUGGUUCGAAAUUGAAAGGCGGCUUCGGCUGUCACUUAUGGAUGGACCCGCGUCGCAUUAGCUAGUUGGUGAGGUAACGGCUCACCAAGGCAACGAUGCUUAGCCGACCUGAGAGGGUGAUCGGCCACACUGAGACUGAGCCACGGCCCAGACUCCUACGGGAGGCAGCAGUAGCGAAUCUUCCGCAAUGGACGAAAGUCUGACGGAGCAACGCCGCGUGAGUGAUGAAGGCUUUCGGGUCGUAAAACUCUGUUGUUAGGGAAGAACAAGUGCUAGUUGAAUAAGCUGACACCUUGACGGUACCUAACCAGAAAGCCACGGCUAACUACGUGCCAGCCGCCGCUGUAA
rnacentral:rRNA from 1 species